rnacentral:misc_RNA from 1 species
GAUGAAGAACGUAGCGAAAUGCGAUAAGUAGUGUGAAUUGCAGAAUUCAGUGAAUCAUCGAAUCUUUGAACGCACAUUGCGCCCUUUGGUAUUCCAAAGGGCAUGCCUGUUCGAGCGUCAUUUGUACCCUCAAGCUUUGCUUGGUGUUGGGCGUCUUGUCUCUAGCUUUGCUGGAGACUCGCCUUAAAGUAAUUGGCAGCCGGCCUACUGGUUUCGGAGCGCAGCACAAGUCGCACUCUCUAUCAGCAAAGGUCUAGCAUCCAUUAAGCCUUUUUAUCAACUUUUGACCUCGGAUCAGGUAGGGAUACCCGCUGAACUUAAGCAUAUCAAUAAGCGGAGGA